UACGGGGGGAGCAAGCGUUGUUCGGAUUUACUGGGCGUAAAGGGCGCGUAGGCGGUCAGCACAAGUCAGUUGUGAAAUCUCCGGGCUUAACUCGGAAAGGUCAACUGAUACUGUGCGACUAGAGUGCGGAAGGGGCAACUGGAAUUCUCGGUGUAGCGGUGAAAUGCGUAGAUAUCGGGGGGAACACCAGUGGCGAAGGCAGGUCUCUGGGCUGACACUGACGCUCAUGCACGAAAGCGUGGGGAGCAAACAGG
rnacentral:rRNA from 1 species